GCCUAUUUGGUGGAAUGGUAGACACGGUAGACUCAAAAUCUAUUUUUCUUUAUGAAAGUAUCGGUUCAAGUCCGAUAAUAGGUA